rnacentral:misc_RNA from 1 species
UCCGGCUUAUCACCGGCAGUCCCACUAGAGUGCCCAACUAAAUGCUGGCAACUAAUGGCGAGGGUUGCGCUCGUUGCGGGACUUAACCCAACAUCUCACGGCACGAGCUGACGACAACCAUGCACCACCUGUGCACGACCCUUGCGGACCCCCCAUCUCUGGAGGAUUUCCGUGCAUGUCAAGCCUAGGUAAGGUUCUUCGCGUUGCAUCGAAUUGAACCACAUGCUCCACCGCUUGUGCGGGCCCCCGUCAAUUCCUUUGAGUUUUAGCCUUGCGGCCGUACUCCCCAGGCGGGACACUUAUCGCGUUGGCUGCGGCACGGACAGAUUCGACUCCGCCCACACCUAGUGUCCAUCGUUUACGGCGUGGACUAC